rnacentral:rRNA from 1 species
ACUCCUACGGGAGGCAGCAGUGGGGAAUAUUGCACAAUGGGCGCAAGCCUGAUGCAGCCAUGCCGCGUGUGUGAAGAAGGCCUUCGGGUUGUAAAGCACUUUCAGUUGUGAGGAAGGUGGUGUCGUUAAUAGUACGGCAUCAUUUGAUCGUUAGCAACAGAAGAAGCACCGGCUAACUCCGGUGCCAGCAGCCGCGGUAAUACGGAGGGUGCGAGCGUUAAUCGGAAUUACUGGGCGUAAAGCGCAUGCAGGUGGUUUGUUAAGUCAGAUGUGAAAGCCCGGGGCU